UGCCAGUCUUCUCCUAUUCCCUUCUCACACCGCUUGAACACUAUUGGACAUUGAGUUAUUGUUAAAGUGGUGAGGGCUGUUAGGUGCUGCAAUCCCUCCGGUAAACAUUUUAGCAUCUCACAGAAUGUUAUGGAUAACUGUGUGAGUGAAGUUAAACCUUUCACCCCUUCCUCUGGGAGACUCUCUAGUGCAUCACACCGACUAAUAACCAGAUGCUUCAAAGCAUUGAGACUAGCCAGGCUGGUAGGCAGCUCUUUGAGAUUCUUAAAGCAAGAGAUUUUCAAGUAUUUGAGAUUUGCAAGGCUUUUGAACAUCUCUUCUGGGAGUGAAAUAGCUUCUACGUUAUCGCUUAUGUCGAGGGAAGUAAGAGCCCUAAGAUUAGAUAUGGACCUCAAAACUGUUGCAUCUGCCUCCCCCACAAAUUCCAAUUUCUUGACAGAAGAAAGGGUCGGAAAAACAAACACAGGGCACCUGUGAAUUGUCAUCUCUUCAAGCACUGGGAAUUGCUCUUCUCCUUCCUUUUUCAGCAAUCCUUUUAGAUUACUAAAGCCCCAUAUAACAAGUUUCCUCAAGGAUGGAAACCUCCCAGAAUCAACAUCAACAUCAACAUACUCCACACACCCAUAUUGUAACAUUAGACUUUUUAGACAAGGCAGCUCACCAAAUGGUGGUAAGCAUGAGCAGUUUUUGCAACCUUCAAUUACAAUAGAGACAACAUUUUUCAAACUGAGUGAUUCAUCCAAUAUGGGAGACGGAUUCCUUUGAAGCCAGUGAUUUUUGAAGAAGUCAGAUUGGAGUGUGGUUUGAGGGCUUCAAGCACUUCAACUUCUUCUGAUUCAUAUCUACGUGGUUCAAGCCAAUCCCAAUCUAUGAUUAAAGAUCGCAGAUUCUCUUUUGCAGAUAAAUUGGCUUCUUUUGCAUCCUUAUCAUUCUUCACUCUCUCAAGAUGUCUGAUUUCAAUUGAGCCAUAGAGAUUCAGGUUUCGUAGUUCCCCAAGUUGAAAACCUUUCUUCCUUCCCACAAAAUAGAAACCUAGAGUCUUAAGGCAUGUCAAAGAUCCUAUCCUUGGUGGCAUACAAUCCAAUGGACAGCCAUCAAGUAAAAGAUUUCGGAGACUAACAAGUUUACUUGUUUGUUUUGGCAAACAAGAAAGAUAGUAGCAAUUAUGUAGAUCAAGAGUCAGCAGAUUUUGAAGCUUGCAUAUCUGCUUUGGAAGACUACGCAUCUUAUUGCCAGACAAGUCCAGGUAUCUUAAAUGUACUAGAUCUCCAAUGGAAGAAGGUAAUUGGUCUAAUUUUGAGUAACUUAGAUUAAGCACUCUUAACGAGACAAACUUUUUCAAGGGGGAAGGAAAGUAGAAAAUAAGCUAUACAUCAAUCAUCAAAGUUAGUGAAGAGUUAAGACACUUGGGGGUCGUUUGGUACAAACAUUGAUAACGCAAGGAUUAAUAAUGCAGGGAUUAGUAACGCAGGGAUUAGUAAUGCAGGGAUUAGUAGUGCAGGGAUUAUUUUUUGUCAAGUGUUUAGUUCAUUGCUUCCCACUUAAUCUUGUGUUUGAUUUCAAACUCUACCAAAAAUUUCUUUCUUAUUAUACCCUUGUGGUAUUAUGAGAUUGUUUAUUUCAUGUAAUUGAGUCAAGGUAGAUAACUGGACCAUAACACUACAAUAUUUUUUUUUUUAGAAAAUAACAACAAAGAAUAAAAGUGUUAUAUAAAUUGAAACAAUUUUUUUUUUGUGCAUAAUUAAUAACAAGAAUCUAUAUAUAUAUAAUAGGAGAGGUGAUAGUGCUUAGGUGUCAUCGCCACAAUUAAUCUCACAUUUUUUACUUUUAAAAAUCAAUUAACAAUUAUUAAUUAUAUACACAAAAAUUCGUGAAAAAAAAUCAAAUAAAAAAUCAAAAGCAAUUUUAAUUAAGAGCAGUUUUUAUUAAAGAGGUUUCAUAACUCCCCUACUAUCUUAUCCACAAUUCAUAAACUUUCGGAUAAACUGCUUCUCAACGCACUUAAAAUGUACAUAUAUAAAGACACCAUUUGUGUCAAACUAAACAUGUUUCUGUCAAUUUUAAAAAAAACAUAUACACGUGUCAAUUUUAAAAAUUUAUUACAUAUAUACAACAAUCAAUAAAAUAAUUCAACUUAAAUUUAACUUUAACUUUAUAUAGAUAUAUCAAUUUAGACUGUUCAGUUGCAUACUAUAGAAUUAUGUGUCAGCUUCUCAAUUACCAAAUAGCAAUGUAUGUCACCAUUUGAAUUAUUAACCUGUAAAUUAUACACGUGUCAAUUUUAAAAAUUUAAUUACAUAUAUACAACAAUCAAUAAAAUAAUUCAACUUAAAUUUAACUUUAACUUUAUAUAGAUAUAUCAAUUUAUACUGUUCAGUUGCAUACUAUAGAAUUACGUGUCAGCUUCUCAAUUACCAAAUAGCAAUGUAUGUCACCAUUUGAAUUAUUAACCUGUAAUUAUGAAAAAUAAAAAUAAAAUCAAAAGCAAUUUUAAUUAAGAGCAGUUUUUAAUAAAGAGGUUCCAUAACUCCCCUACUAUCUUAUCCACAAUUCAUAAACUUUCGGAUAAACUGCUUCUCAACACACUUAAAAUGUGCAUAUAUAAAGACACCAUUUGUGUCAAACUAAACAUGUUUCUGUCGAAUUUCACAAUACAAAAUAUGGCUUUACAAUAUAACACCAUAUCAGAAAUUACCAAUAACUCAAUGAACUGGAAUUUAAAAGUUCGCGUUGUUCGUUUCUGGACAACACCCGAUAAAUACAAGCCAGAUAUUCUGUAUUCUAUGGAGUUGAUUUUGCAAGAUGAAAAGGUAUGAUUUAAAUCAACUUUCUGAAUUUAAUGAUUAAUGAUUAAUGAUAGUGAUUAAUGAUUAACAAAAUUUUGUUUGUAUAUAGGGUGAUCGAAUACAUGCAUCUAUUGACAAGUACACAAUAAAGUAUUUCAGAGACAAGAUUUAUGAUCAUGGUUUAUAUCGAAUGAAAUAUUUUGUCAUAGCCUCUUAUCACUCUAAAUUUAAAUCUAAUUCUCAUAAACACAAGCUUAUAUUCACUCAGAAUACUAUUGUGAAUACACUUGAAGAUUCCUCUUUUCAUAUGGAUGUUUUUAAACUAUGCACUUUCGAUGAAGUGGCAAUUCAGCACAAUACCGACGAAAAUCAACUAAUUGGUAAAUAAUAAUAUAUAUUAUAUACUUCAUUUCAUUUUAUUGUAAAUAUUAUAUCUAAAAAUUCAAUUAUUUUUCAAGAUGUUGUUGGGCAUGUUGUCUCAUAUGAACCAAUUCAAUUAUCAAAGCAAGGAGACAACAGUAGUUCUUUCAUGAAUAUUGUUGUAGAAGAUAAAAAGUAAGUUUUAUUAAACAAUUUUCAAUUAAUAGGGUAUAGACCAUUAUUUUAUAUUUUCAUAACAUUGUUCAUGCAGGAAAAACAAUCUUCCUGCCACUUUAUGGGGUGAUCUCGCCUUUCAAAUGUAAUCACAUUUAUCUGGAUCAACAGAUGAACCAUUAAUUGUCGUUUUUCAAUUAAUGAAGACACACAAAUUAAGAGGUAUGAAUUCUAAAAUUAUUAUUUUGUUGCAUAGUUGUUUAUCAUUAUUCCAAAUAUACUUAUUUAACUUAAUAAAUCUUAUAAAUUAUUUUACAGAUACAUAUUCUAUUCGUAGUUGUUGGUACCAGACCAAACUAUGGAUUAAUACAGAUCUACCACAAUUUUCUGCUUUUAAAAACAAGUUAAUUGCAUCAGGCGAAUAUGAGAAGGUUUCUCAAACAAGUUCACAACAACAUAUUUCAAUUUCUGAGGAGUUAUCUACAGGAAUGGUGUCUUUUAAAUUUAUUAAAGAUUUCCUUCAAUGCACUGAAGUGAGUUGUAUAUUAUAUUAUUAUUAUUUAUAAGAACAUAUUUUUAUAGUACAUAUAACUGUCUAACCAUCUAUAUUAACUCACAGGAGUCUACCUAUUGGAUUGCUGUAAAGAUUGUUUGUUUGGAACUUGGUCACAAAUGGUCAUACUUGGCUUGCAAGAAGUGUAUCACAAAGGUUGAUCCAAUGGGAGACAAAUAUUAUUGCUUAAAAUGCAAUGUUGAAGUUAUAUCAGUUAUUCACAGGUUCGGGCAAGCAAUAUAAAUAUUUAAAAUUUAAUUAACAUUAUAUAACACUUUAUUUUAUACAUUUUAGGUAUCGACUUCAAAUUCAUGUUACUGAUGAAACUGGAUUUAUAUCAUUAUUGUUGUGGAAUAAAGAGGUUCUACAACUAAUUGGAAAGACUGCCAAGGAAUUGAAGGAAGGAUUAAUAGGAGAUGUUGACAAUGGUUAUCCCACAGAACUUGAAACUUUGAUUGAGAAAAAGCUCAUGUUUAAAGUCCAGAUUAAGGAUUCAAACAUUAACAAGAAUGAUAAUGUCUACAAAGUAGUUAAGUUCAUUGAUGAUGAAGCAUUACUAAAGGAAUAUUGUCAUCCUUCUCUUAUACACAGUUUGACUGUAAGUGUCAAAAUCAUUAAAAUUUAACUAUAAUUUUCAUAUAAAUUAAUUAACUAUAAUUUUUGAAACAGGAGGCAUCCCUUGAUUGUGAACAGAGCAUUGAUGAAGAUAAACUAAUUGAGGUAUAUAAAUUAAUUCAACUUAUAUAUUUCGUAUUUUUAACUUUCAGAUUUUAAAACAUAGUAUGUUAUUUUACAUUAUGUGUUUUACUAGGCAACACACAUAAAUUUUUAAUAAAUUAUGUAUGUAAAUUAUUUACAGACACCUAUCAAGAAUAGCAUUUCAGAUUGUGUUUCUUCACAAACAGAAGAUGUGAUUGAUUUGACUGAAAAGUCAUAUCCCAAUAAUGGCAAACAAGUUGGAGUUCGGCCAACACAUGCAGAUGAUGAGGGAUUAAAUGUCAAACUACCAUCUAACAAGUUACACAAAGUUAUAAAGAAGGAGAAAAAGACAUAAAUUUGUCUGAAUGGGAGAUAGACUUUAAUUAUUUAAGUUAGUUUAUUUUAGAAUAUUAAACUAUCCAUUUCUGUUUUAAGAAUGUAUUUCAUUGUGUUAGUACUGAUUGUUGUUAUUUUACUUUCUAUAUAUGCAUAUGAUGUUUUUUUCAGUUUUAAACAUGUGUCAUUCUUUGUGUAUAUAUAAUUAAGUGUCAACUUCUCAAGUUUCAAAUAGCAAAAUCCCUUCAGAUAAUUAACUUCAAAUAACAAUGUGUUGAAUACAAGAUAAUAAUAUGACUGAUGCUAACAAUAAUUACAUACUAACCUUAAGUAUUCCAUAUAAAGCAAUUAUCUUUGCCAACAAUAUACUUGCAGGAAAUAUUUCUUCCAUUAAACAACCUCUAAGCAAUCUACAAAACAUAAGAGACAAUUGAUUAAAUCCUGAAGUUCAAAAUUAUUGUUCUCACUUGGAAUGAAUUAAGUACAGAAAGUGUAGUAUGAAAAAUGUACAAAACAGUCUCAUAUAUCCACCAAUAGAACCACUCACAAGCUAUAGUAUAAUAGGUAUCCAUAAAUAUCAUACAUUGAGUCUAUGCUAUCCACAGAAAAAUAACCAUCUCUAAGCUAAUCUAUAAAAAAGCAUAAUUCAAAUAUGGAAAAUUUUGAUAAGUCCAAAUAGAACCUCCUUAACAUGUUAACUAACAGAAUAGUCAUAGUUUCCCUCAUAAAACCAAAAUAUGAUUGCCAUAGGUAAUCAAUAAAUAGGCUUUCACUAACUUUAUGUAUUAGAAUUGUUCAAGCACGGCAGGGAGUAAUAUUAGAGUUAAACUUUGAUUGGCUAAUACGAGGAGAAAUAAGAGGAUUACCUCAAUCUAUUAUAUGUACAUGUGUAUAUAAUAAUCAAGUACAAACUAAUUGAAAGAAUAGAUCUUAGUAUAACACAAAUAUAAAAUUUAUUGCCAAGGAGACAAUUUUACUUACGUUCUAAAACAUACUAAACUCAAUGAACAGAAGCACAACUCAGUUCAUCCCAUACCUCUCUACACCUUAAUCACAAUGUUGAACCAGAAAAAAUAUAUAGUUAUGAACAAAUUUUACAUAAUUAGAACAAGAUUAAGUUUUACAACAAUCAUAUAUAGUGAAGUAUAUAAAUUAUUAAUAGCUUUCUCAUAAUUAGAACAAGAUGGCUUGAACUAAUCAAAUACUAAUCUAAUGGACGUAUAAACUUUCAUAUAUUCCAACAAGACAGUAUACUAAAGGUAAUAUCCAAUAAAUUUUGAAAAGUUAUCAUACAAUUUCAUAUAUUUGAGUCUCUUAUCAUUAUGAUAAAUCUAUAUGUAUGCUUCUGACAAAAAAAAAAAUUGAAAAUAAUAUAUGGUCAUUUAGACAUAUUAGUUAGAUAGAUUUUAUUAUAUAUUUUUUUCUAGACUGAUAUUUUUAAUAAUGAUGGUACAAAAAUAAGAGUCUUGAGACUCAACUAACAAAUAAAUUGUGUAAAAAUCCCCUGUUUUGCCCAACUGACUGUAAAUUUAAAUUUUACAGUUAUGAAAUAAUAGGAUACAGAUCUAAAAAAUUAAUAAACUGCUCUAAAUUAACUGAUGUUCAGUUCUGAGGUUUUAUCCAUUUAAAGAGAUAUAGAGUUCAAUAACAUACAACAAAGACAUGAAAGAUCAUAAAAAAAUAGCAAGAAAAAACAGAAUCUGCUUACAACAGAAUAAAAAACGUGGAAAACACUCAUCUGAUGUUAAUGGUUAGUUUUUUCAUAUUUUUCAUUUGUUUGAUUAAUUGAGUAACUUUCUUACACUUUCAGAAACACUUUAAUUAAGUGUUAAAAUGUUUAUAAAUUGGACAAACACAUUCAUUAAAAAUUGUAAUACUAUAAGAGGGAAGAGAUUUUGAUGGAAAGACAUGAUUACUUAUUUCUUUUAAAUAUGACACAGAUUUAACAGAUUUUACAAUCUAAAAAAACAUACACUAUGCCUAAUAUAGUUAAUUUAGUGGCAAUACAUUCACAAUUGUCAUUUAACUUUGUAAAAUUAUUUAGUACAAAGUGAUUAACUUAGUGAUGAUAAACUAAUAAAGUAGACUGAUUUGUUACUCCAUUGAAAGUACAUUAGUUAAUGCAUAUUCCUUUAUGCUAGAUUUGCCAAGUAGUUCUUCUUCAAAUUCAAGGCAAUCUAAAGGUAAACAUAUAAUGGUGGAUGAGAUUUCAUUUUCGGUGGAACAUUCUAAUGUUCAAUCAAAUGAGCAAAAUAUUUAUGAAAAUGAAUAUGAAGAUAUGUUGGAAGGUAUGAAUCUAUACUUAAACACAUUUUAUGUUCUUAUAAUUUAUUAAUGUGCAAAUUUUUGUAUAGUAAUAAUUUUUUUACAUUUUUUUAUAUUUAUAGGGGAUGAAAUUGAGGGUGGUAGAAUUUACAAUCAAGGUAUUUGUUUCAAUAUUACAUUUCAUCAACAAAUCGAUUUAUGUUUUUUCUACAAUAAAUAAUUAAACUCUAUCUUUUAAAUUUUAAAUGAAAUACUAUUAGAUUAUUGGGAUAUGGGAGAUCCUACUUAUGAGUGUGAACAUUGCGGUGCGUACUUCUGGUAUGAAGAAAGAAUUGAAAAGAGAUACAAAAAAAUAAAUCCUGUUUUCACUUUGUGUUGCGGUAAGGGAAAGAUAAAGUUUCCAAAUCCAAAGGAUCCUCCUACACUGCUAAAGGAAUUAUUAUUUGGAUCAGGUAAUUGAAAUUAUUUAUCAAAUUACUACAUUAUUAUUAGAAUAUAUUCUUUUAAAUGUUUGAAUAACAUAAAAUUAAUUUAGGUGACAAAAGUCGUCAUUUCAGAGAGAAUAUAAGAAAUUAUAAUUCUAUGUUUUCAUUUACAUCAAUGGGAGGAAAAAUUGAUGCAUCUGUCAAUCAAACAAAAGCGCCAAGAACAUUUAGAUUAUCUGGACAUAAUUAUCAUAAAAUUGGAAGCUUAUUACCUACCAAGGGAUCUACUCCAAAAUUUGCACAAUUGUAUAUAUAUGAUACAGAAAAUGAGGUGCAAAAUAGAAUUAAUGUUAUCAAGUAAGUAUUUAUAGUAUAUAUAAAUUUUACAACGUUCAAUUAAUUGUAAUUAUUAAUCACUAUUAUUUAUAUAACUAUUUUUCUUUAGUCGUAGUGAAAGCAAUAGACAAAUUCAUGCUCAAAUUGUUAAUGAUAUCAAGGAAAUGCUAGAUCAACACAAUGUGCUUACAAAAUCUUUUCGGAUGGUAAGAGAUAGAUUUCAAAUUGAUCAAAGUGCAGAUGUUAAACUAAGAUUGAUAGGAAAAAGAGGAUCAGAUGGAAGAAGGUACAAUUUGCCAACAGUUUCUGAAGUAGCAGCUUUGGUGGUUGGUGAUUUUGAACCAACCAGUUCUGACAGAGAUAUAAUAAUUGAAAGUCAUUCUGGACAACUUAAGAGAAUAAGCGAAUUGAAUGCAACAUACUUAGGUUUGCAAUAUCCAUUACUUUUUCCAUUUGGUGAAGAUGGAUAUAGAGAAGAUAUUCCUUUAAAUGGAAUUGAUGAAUCAUCUGAUGGAAGGAAAUAUGUUAGCUCUCUUGAAUACUUUUCAUACAAAAUUCAAGAAAGGAAGAAUGAAAUACCAACAAUUGUAUCGGCUAAAAGAUUAUUUCAACAAUUCUUGGUAGAUGGAUAUACAAUGAUAGAAUCUUCUCGAUUGCUAUUUUAUAGGCUCCAUCAAACACAUUUGAGAGCAGACUUUUAUAAGGGAUUACAAGAAGCUGUUUUACAGGGAGACACUCAACCUUCUUAUAAAGGACAAAGAGUAAUAUUAUCUUCUUCUUUCACUGGAGGUACACAUUACAUGUUGCAAAAUUAUCAAGAUGCAAUGUCAAUAUGUAAAUGGGCCGGAUAUCCUGAUCUAUUUAUUACAUUUACUUGCAAUCCUAAAUGGCCUGAGAUCACUAGAUUUGUGAACAGUAGGGGAUUGGCUCCAGAAGAUCGGCCAGACAUUAUAACGAGAGUCUUUAAAGUCAAAUUAGAUCAACUGAUAAAGGAUUUGCGAGACAACAAAGUUUUUGGACAAGUAAAAGCAGGUAUAUUAUUGCCUUAUUAUUAUACCACAAUUGUUUAUUUUUAAUUUGAAACAGUAAUAAAAAAUAAUAGCAUAUUUAUCCUUUGAUUCAAUGAUUUAUACUAUUGAAUUUCAAAAGCGUGGAUUGCCUCAUGCGCAUAUUUUGCUAUUUCUACAUAAUAAAUCUCCAAAUAUUUGUGAUAUUGAUGAUAUUAUUUCAGCUGAAUUAUCAAAUAAAUUACUUGAUCUGGAUUAUUAUGUGGCUGUUACAAACUUUAUGANNNNNNNNNNNNNNNNNNNNNNNNNNNNNNNNNNNNNNNNNNNNNNNNNNNNNNNNNNNNNNNNNNNNNNNNNNNNNNNNNNNNNNNNNNNNNNNNNNNNNNNNNNNNNNNNNNNNNNNNNNNNNNNNNNNNNNNNNNNNNNNNNNNNNNNNNNNNNNNNNNNNNNNNNNNNNNNNNNUACAAAGAGAUCAGGUAUUGAUUUGGAUAAUAGAUAUGUUGUACCACACAAUAGAUUUUUGUUGUUGAAAUAUGGGGCGCAUAUUAAUUUUGAAUGGUGCAAUCAAUCAAGGUCAAUUAAAUACUUAUUUAAGUAUGUUAAUAAAGGUCAUGACCGUGUUACAGCUGCUUUUUGCGAUAGUGCGAAUUCUUCAGAUUCAAGAGGGGUUGAUGAAAUAAAUAUGUAUUGUGAUUGUCAGUAUAUAUCACCAUGUGAAGCAGCUUGGAGAAUCUUUAAAUUUCCAAUCCACCACAGAGAACCUUCUGUUGAAAGGUUAUCUUUUCAUAUACCAGGCAAUCAGAAUAUCAUAUUUUCAGAUGAUGAUCCAAUUGAUGUUGUCAUCAAUAAACCAAUCAUAAAGGAAUCCAAAUUUUUAAGUUGGUUUGAAGCAAACAAGGAAUUUCCUGAGGCAAUAGAUUUAACCUAUGCAGAAUUUUCUUUAAAGUUUGUUUGGAAGCAACAAUCUAAGAGAUGGGAUAAAAGAAAAACUUCUGCAUUUUCGAUUGGAAGAAUUUUCUUUGUUCCACCGGGAUCUGGUGAGCAAUAUUAUCUUAGAUUGUUAUUGAAUANNNNNNNNNNNNNNNNNNNNNNNNNNNNNNNNNNNNNNNNNNNNNNNNNNNNNNNNNNNNNNNNNNNNNNNNNNNNNNNNNNNNNNNNNNNNNNNNNNNNNNNNNNNNNNNNNNNNNNNNNNNNNNNNNNNNNNNNNNNNNNNNNNNNNNNNNNNNNNNNNNNNNNNNNNNNNNNNNNNNNNNNNNNNNNNNNUUAUUUUUGUUUGAUUAAUUAGUUUAUUAUAUUUACGUUUAAAUAUUAAUUUAUUAUAUAUAUUAUUUUUUCGGAAGCUUAUCUAUCAGAUGCUGAUUUGAAGAAUUGUUGCUUGCAAAAGAUAGAAAAAAUUUUAAAAAGUUGUGGAAGAAGUUUUUUAGAUUUUCCUACAAUGCCAAUACCUGUUUACACUGAGGAUGAUGUUGACAUCACUAAUAGAUUAAUUUGUGAUGAAAUGCGUUACAAUAAAUGAGCUUUAGCUGAUGAACAUCAACAAUUGGUAUUAAAUUUAACGGAUGAGAAAAAAUCAGUGUAUAAAAAAAUUAUGGCAACAGUUAAUGAAAAUAUGGGUGGAUUUUUCUUUUUAUAUGGAUUUGGAGGAACAGGAAAAACUUAUAGUUGGAAGACUUUAUCAGCUGCCAUAAGGUCCAAAGGAGAUGUUGUUUUAACAGUUGCAUCUAGCAGGAUUGCAUCUCUUUUAUUACCAGGUGGCCGAACAACACAUUCAAGAUUUGUUAUCCCGCUAAAUAUAACUGAAGAUUCAACAUGCAAUUUAAAACAAGGUACUCCUUUAGCACAUUUGCUAAUCAAGACUAAGUUGAUUAUUUGGGAUGAGGCUCCAAUGAUGCAUAAACAUUGUUUUGAAGCUCUUGAUAAGACUUUAAGAGAUAUUAUUGGCUACAAAGACGCAACUAAGUCAGAAUUACCAUUUGGUGGUAAAACAAUUGUUCUUGGAGGUGACUUUAGACAAAUUCUUCCUGUGAUCCCAAAAGGUAGUCGCCAAGAUAUUGUUAAUGCAACUCUCAACUCUUCAUAUUUAUGGCCCCAUUGUGAAUUAUUAACACUAACAAAGAAUAUGAGGUUGCAAAACAGUGACGCUGAUACUGAUCUAAAAGAGUUGCAAGAGUUUUCUGAUUGGAUAUUGGCAGUUGGGGAUGGUAGUAUUGGUAAUUCAUUUGAUGGAAUUGAUAAAGUUUAAUACCAAAAGAUCUUCUAAUAACUGAAUAUACUGAUCCAAUAGCAGCUAUUGUGGAAAGUACGUAUCCAGAUUUCAGUACUAAUUGUAAUGAUGUUGGAUACCUACAACAAAGAGCCAUUCUUACUCCUCCUCUUGAUAUGGUGGAAUCAAUCAAUCAAUAUAUGAUCUCCUUGAAUCAUAAUCCUGAGAAAUCAUAUUUGAGUUCUGACAAAAUAUGCAAGUCUAAUCAUACUUAUUCAGCUUUGGAACAUGUCCACACCCCAGAUUUUUUGAACACUAUUAAAUGUUCUGGAGUUCCAAAUCAUUCAAUCACUUUAAAAGUUGGAGUACCAGUGAUGUUACUAAGAAAUAUUGAUCAGGCAGCAGGACUAUGUAACGGCACUAGGUUGAUUGUUACUAAACUUGGAAAUCAAGUAAUUGAAGCAAAGGUUUUAUCUGGACAGAUGGCUGGACAGAAGGUAUUUAUUCCAAGAAUAAAUUUAACACCUUCAGAUGCUAGAAUCCCAUUUAAGUUUCAAAGAAGACAGUUUCCUAUAACUGUAUCAUUUGCCAUGACAAUCAACAAGAGCCAAGGACAGUCUUUAUCUCAUGUUGGAUUAUUUUUGAAGAAACCAGUGUUUACCCAUGGACAACUUUAUGUAGCUGUUUCUAGAGUAACAAGUAGAAAGGGAUUAAAAAAUACUGAGUUACAAUGAUGACGGACAAUUAACUGAUGAGGCUAUAAAUGUAGUAUAUAAAAGAAGUGUUCCGAAAAUCUAUUGUAAUAUGCAGAUUCUUUGGGAUGUUUUAUAUAUACUGUAAUUGUUGAUGAUUAUUAUAAAACAAUUCUGAUGAAGUUGUUAUUAUAAUUAUGGUAUCAUUUAUGCUAUUUUAACCAACUAAAUAAUUUUUAAUAUUAUUGUGUUCUGUGUAGUACACCUAAAGAUAACAUUAUAUGAUAUAAAAUGUUAUGCGAUUACUUUAAUUAAUAUACAAAUUUAUUAAUUUUAAAUUAAAUUUUUAUCAUGUAAAUUGAUUGAUUUACCUUUUUUUGCAUUGUUUUUUCAAGCUAAUGACAGUCAAGAAACGUUAAAAAGUGUUAUAUGCAAUCAGAAGAAAUAAGAGUUCUAAAAGGACAAAUACUGAUAAUGAAUGUUCAUGUACAAUUUUAAUCUUUAGUAUUUGCAUUAUACAUUUUCAGGUAAAAUUUUAAUCUCAAAUUUUUUCAUUAUACUUCUCUAAUAUUUCCUUUAGUCUUCUCUAAUAUUUCCAUUAUUCUUUUAUCAUUACUUUGUUUUAUAAAGAAUAAUAAUAAUUAUAAUAUUUUAAAAUACUUUAAAUAGAUUAAUAUUGUUAACUCUUUUAUUGACAGUGGCAGAUAAUACAACUGAUAUUUUGAGUUCUUGAAUUUGAAAAAUUGGUAUCAAGAGUUUGAAAAAACGGAGGGGAAGAAUACACUUAUGCAUAUAGUGAACAAUUUCACUCUUAAGUAAUUGAGUGUGCUUUGAAGAUAGUAUCAGUCUCUUUCAUUAUAUUAAAUGGAACCGCAUGUUGACAUAAUUUUUUUAUAACUAAACUAUAUAUAUGCAAUGGAGGGCUUGGUUCUAUAUACUUUUUAAACUUUAGAUUUAAUCGUGCUAUCCUGUAACAAGUAUUUAAAGGAGUUCAUAUAUGCUUUAGAUAUUUCAAAGAAGCAACACAUUAAAAAUAGACUCCAAUAAGUUUAACCAACUAAACACACAAUUAUUUACGUUAUGUUAAUUUUAGUAAACUGAAUUAUAAUCUAUCAAGCAUAUGAAUUUUAUCAUUAAGCUCUUCAUCUGAACCAUGAAUCAUAAUAUAGGUAUAAGCACAUUGAAACUACAGAAAAUAUCAAUAUAAAUCAGAUUAAAAUAUAGAGACUGCUGUAAAAAGAACCAAAUUGAGAGGAAAAUAAAAUAGCUUAACUACAUAUUUUUAAAUGUAAGACAUCUUUUCGAAUUUUUAAAAACAAAUAAUCAGUUCUGUGCUCCUUCAAGAAGCAAUAAUUCAUCACAAUCUACUCUAACAACUUGGUUAAGCAGAAAAAUAAAAAUAAAGAUAGAGAUCUAACCUGACAUUGCAAAGAACAUAAAAACUGAUACGACCACAUCAUAAACUCUCAAUUUCCAAGCAAAAUAACAAAAUCUGAAUCAACAUAAGCUUAUUACAACUAUGUUAUAGCAUGCAUGUACUAAUUAAAUUAAAUUUAAAAUAUAAUACCUUAGUUGACCAUCCCAAAUAGAGUAACAUCGACGCAAAAUAGAGCUGAAGAAGACAUCAACUGAUAAAUUUUUCAAAAUUAACUCCAUGACAAGAAGAUGAUGCAUGCUAAUCUAUUUAUAUAUAAUCUAUUUAUAUAUAAUAGGAGAAGAAAAAAUGCCUACGUGUCAGCACUACAAAAUUAGUAGAAAUAUUAAAUAAUAAAUAACAAUUUAAAAAACAAAAAUUUUAAAAAAAACAUAAAUUAGAAAUCAAUUUUAAAAAUGUUUACGUUAAAACUGUUGUAUUGAUUUCUUUUUUUUUUUAAUAAAUUAAAUAUGUUUGUUCCUAAUAAAAUGCUAACUGUCUAAUUUUUUUAAAAAUAAAUUUUAUAACAGUAGAAGUUAUAGUUUAUGAAUUAUCAAAUUUAAUUAAUUUAAAAUUUAAAAUUUAAAAAUCUAUAAUAGGAGAUGAAAAAACGCCUACGUGUCAGCACCAUAAAAAUCAAAUUUUAAAAUAAUUAAAUAUAAAUCAUUUAAAAAUAGUUUUGAAAAUUAGUCCCAUGUAACUGGAAAACUGUUUUUAAUUUAUUUUUUUAAAAAAAUUAUUACUUAAAUACGUUAAAAAAAUUUCCCACAAAGUUUGAUGAUAUUUUAACUGUACAUUUAGUUUAAUGAAUAUAUAUUAAAUACGGUAAAAAAAUUCCCACCAAGUUUGAUGAUCGUAAAAACAUAAAAAUAAAAUUAUAAUAAUUAAAUAAAAAUCUUAUAAAUAUAUAUAUUAAAAAAUCAGAAAAUAGAAAAAAUUUAAAAUAAAAUUACAAAAACAGAAUGGAAAACACGGAUAAAAAAAAUGGAAAACACAGAAAAAUUCAAAUUAACCUACGUAGAAAAAAAAAAGGGAUAACAUGACAAAGUGGUUAUUUUUUUUAUUUGAAUUUGAAAGUGGGUACCUAAAACUACUCAACUGCUCAUGUACACUUUAUCUUUAAAUGUUCAUAAAUAAAUAAAUCCAAUUAAAAAGUUUUUUCAAAAAACUGGCAUCUACAUUCUACAUACUAAUCAAACUCACACUAAAUUGCAAAAUUGCAAUGGUAAGGCAACACAAAGAAGUCACCAACAUUCUUGCGCAGAGUAAGCAGUGUUUUGGGCAUGCAUAUAUGUGUCGCUCUACUCGUGUGAAGAGAUCGUUUUUGAUAAGUAUGAUUUAGUUACGGUCUCAAUUGAGGACAAUUCAGUUAUGAUCAGAAAUUUUGUUAAUUUUUUGUUAGAUUCUAGAUAUAUUGUAUGAAUAUUUGAGGUCAUUCUGUAUGCAAUAUAUAUUGAAAAUAUACUGAGGAUGGAGACUUGCUUGAAUCACAAUGCACUAGACGGCAUAAAAAUUUAUCCAAUAAUGAUAAAACACAAAACUUUAAACUUAUAACUAAUUUUUCAGUGUUAAAGUUUAUCAUUUUCAUAAUACAAUUACUUUCAAAAUAUAAUAAAUUGUGUUCUUCAAUGUUAAAUUUUUUCGAAUAUUUUUUGCAUGAUACAGUAGAUAUUCAGAAUCAAGGAUGAAUUAUUUUAUGAGGAAAAGUAACUUAACAACUAUGAUUUUUUGGUAAUCUAUCUAAUACAAGUUUUUUUUCUUCUUUUUUUUUACUUCUUCAUCUUUUAACUUUCUCUUUAAAUCUCAUAUGAAGAUGAUAAAACACAUCGAUUGAGGAAAUAUUCACAAAUAUAUUGAAGUUGUGAUAUUAAAAAUAAAAAUUAGAAAUAAACUACUUACUUUCUCUCUCAAAUAUAAUUCAAUUUGUACUCUGGUAUGAAUUGUUUAUUUAUUACAUCUUAUUAUCUAUUUUUGUCUCAUAAGCAUUUAGAUAUUUACUUUAUUUGUUUAUCUAUAUUUAUAUCUUAUUUAUAAUGUAUUUUAUGUAUAAGAAAAUUAGAUCAGAAAAAAUAUACAAAAUAUGAGUGAAGAUACUAAAUUUUGAAGUUUGUUGCAUUUUAGAGUAUGGAGUUUAAAAAAAAAAAUUGACAACAUUUGAUGCUCCUUGGUGUAAUUCAAAAAAGUUUCAAAAAUAUGAUAUUUAUAUAUUGCACAUUUUAUUUUAUUUUAAUUCCAGAAAUACUAUAAAAAUAGGUGAAAAUACUUGCAUAAAAAAAUCAACAAAAUUUAUUAUUUACACAUAUUUAAAGUGUCACUCUAUUAUUGAAUAAAGUUAAUAACUAUAAAAAUACUUUUAAAGAGUAAACUUUUAUUUUGAUCAUCGAUUUUCAUUUUGAAAUCCAAUAAAUAAUAUAUAUAUAUAUAUAGUCACGUGUUCCCGCUACAAUUGUUCUUGAAUUUUUAGUUUGAAAAUCGUUUAAUUAAAUAUUUAAAAUGGAUGAAAAUUGUAUGAUUUUUUUAUUUUUAUCUCUUAUGAUUAUAAAUUAAUUAAUUUAUCUCCAUUUGUUACUGCAAUUGAUUUUUAAAGAUUAUUAAGGUAAGUUUUAAAUAUGUGGGCAAUCUCUUCUACUAAAUCAUAGGAACACAAUGAUUCAUUUAUAUUCGCUCCAAAUAACAAACAAUAGAAACUAAUAUUCUUUAUUUAGUCUUAAAUAAAAUUAUAAAAAUGAAGAUGGAUAUUCCUGUAAACUACAUACUAAAGAUAAUGGAAAAUGGAAAAUAAAUAAAUUAAUUAAAAGAUUAAAAAAAUCAAAAAAAUCCUAAUAUAAUCCACUAGAAAAAUCACGAAAAUAUACAAUAGGAUUUAGUUUUGGUUCUUUAUACUUAUUUUUAAAAAAAUUAAUAGGAUUUACAUUAGUAUUAAGUAUUUUAUUUAACAUCAUAUUUUUAAAUAUAGUUACCACAAUUAAUUUAACUUUUUUUCAUUUUUUAAAAUCUAAAUGAUUAUACAUGUGGCUAACGUUUAUGUUAUUUUGAAUUCUUAUUUUUAUCAUAAUUAGAAUACUUAUCUUUAUUGAUUGACAUCUAUUUCAUUAUUUUUAAAAAGUAUAUAAUUAUUUUUAAAAAUAGGGUGAUGUAAAUGUAAUGUAAAGAAAACAAAAAACUAAUUUUUAACAAUGACAGUUAAAAAAAUUACAGGAGAUUUGUGUUUUUUUUUUUUUUUUUUAAAUAACAUAUUUAAUUAAAGAAAAAUUAGUUAUUAAUAUUUUAGGAGGAAUAAAUGUAUAAUCAAAAUUUAGUCGAUAAUGUCAAGAUAUUAAGUAGUUAAUAAUAUAGUAAUAAACAAAAGCAAGUAUAUUGUACAAGUUAUCAAAUGAUCACGUGAUUUCUUCUUCAAUUUCAUGGAGAUUUAAUUAUAUUGCGUUUAAGAAAUAGAUAACAAAAAACGUUUUUGAUUAAAAAAAUGAGAAAUGAUAUAUUGAAAUAGGUCAUUAUUAUAUAUAUGAUUAAUAAUUCUUUAUAUUAUCCGCGCAACACGCGGGCACGUAUACUAGUACUCUUUAAUCGAAGUUUUUAUUAAACAAGGUCAAUUCAAAAAAAAUAAUAUGAACUCACCAUUUCACGAAACAUAUGAUUGUUGACGGAACGACUCUAGAUCUAAAUACAAUUCCGAUCAAAAUCUUAUUUCCAGUGUGAUACCUGCUUGAAUAAAGUUUUUCUUAGGCUAUGUUCUAAUUGGAAUGUUCAAAUGUUGAAAUGAGAAUUUUUUUUCUCCAAAGUUAUGGUGAUGAGAUUUAAAUUAUAUAUUUCGUUCUUCCAGAAACUUUUUACAAGGAAGCAUCUGAAAAAAUUAACAAUUAGAAAGAACCCAAUUGAUAAAGGGUAAGAGAAGAAUAUAAAGAAAACAAAGGAACAACACUUACAGUGAGAUGGAAAAGCACACAUGAGCUAAUAGAUGACGGAGUAGCUCUGACCGGCGACGAUCUAAAGAGGAAUCUCACUUUCCUAAUCUCAAAAAUCAUAUUCCAUCGGUGCAAGUUUGGUCUCCUUCCACAAUCUAGAUAGAUCCAUUUUUUGUAAGUUUUCAUUUUGUUUUUUCUUAUUUUCUACUACCUGACACUUUCCUCCGACUUUUUGUUUACAUUUUUUUGUUAUUCAAUGAAUUGGCACAUUGCCAUUUUGUUUAAUUAAAAAUAACGAAAGAAAGAUGGAUUGAAGUCUACUAUACAAUUAAGGCACACUAAUCAAUAUACCUAAAAAGUUGUAUUCUUUUAUAUUACUUCCUUCAUUUUAUAUCUCCUUCGUCAACUUUUAAUUGUCAUAUUUAAUUUUCGAAAGUUUAUUUGACCAAUUUUUAAAUAAAAUAUGAUUAUAUUAAAUCGAUAUUUUAAGAAAAAUAUUUUUAUAUUCCAAAACUAUACUAAAAGUACUACAAAUAGCCAUUAUUUGCAUAUUAAUAUGAUGAAAAAAUAUAUCGUAAAUUGUUAGUCAAAAUUAUUAUGUUUUACUCUAAAAAAAACAUGACAAUUAAAAGUGAACUGAUGGAAUAUUAGUUUAUUAUUAUAUUAAAUAUAAUUGUUGCAUAUUAAUUUAUCAUUAUACUAAAUAUAAUUAAUUUAUAUUAGUUGAUCACUUUACUAAAUCAAUAAAAUUUUAAUAACUUUUUUUACUACUCUUGCAAUUAAUUUUAUUUUUGAAAGUAUUCAUAUUUGUUUGUAUAAUAUACAAGAAGUAUUUUGAGGCGUGAACUUGAAAAAUAAUCUUCUUAUUUAUGUUUUUUAAGCACUGUAAAAAAAUUAAUAGUGAUCAACUAAGAUAAGACGAAUAGAGUAUUUCACAUACACAAUACCUAAUAUAGUUUAUUAUAUUAUAUUAUAUAUUACUAUGAGUGGCUUAUGUUUAUUAUGAAAAUUAUAAAAACAUUACUAUUGGGACCACAAAACAACUUUAUAUUUUGAUUAAAAUAAAUUCAAAAUAUAUAUAUUGUAUUUCAUUUAAUUUAUAGUUUAUUUACUUUCUUUGGAUAUUUAUAUUCCAUAUAAACUAUAACUCAAUAUAUAUUUUUAUAAAAUAUUUAUUAUAUUCGCGCAACGCGCGGGUACAUAUACUAGUAUAAUACUACGCAACAGUUGAAUAAAAUUCACAGUAAAAAAAAUAUGCUAAUUCUUUAUUUGUUUAUUAUUACAAAUUUUAACAUGUAUAAUUAUUGUAUAUGGCAACCGGAUGUUGACAAAAGAGUUUAAACUUAUCAAAAAUGAAGAUCUAAAAAUAUACUUAUACAAUUUUAUACUAAAGUCCCUUACCCAGAUAAUAAUUAGUCAAAGUUGUUGUGGGACAAUAUUGUUUUUUUUAGGAUUUUCUAUUUCAUUUAACUAGUUAAUGUUAAAUUUGACAAUAUUCAAAGAUGAAUUAAUGUGAAGAUUUGGUAGUUAGGAAGAUAAUUCUUCAUUGGUACAAAAGUCAAGAUAACAUCCUUUGUAGGUGAAAUUUAGGUGAACUAUAAAAUGGUUUCACAAGGUAAAUCUUGACAUUUUUGGACACAUUGUGAUGUCAUGGAUGACAUCAAUAGGAAGAAUUCACUCCUAUAAAUAGGUAGUUCCUAAUUCAUUUGUAACACACCUCUCACUUGCCUUCUCAUCUUCAAAGGCAUUUGAUCUUCUUUCUCUCUUGUAGUAUUUCACUUGUACUCUUUUUGGAGUGAAAUAAAUAUUGGUUGGUUGUGUCCGAGGAGUAGGCAAAAGAAAAUAAAAGUUUGUCGAACCUCGUUAAUUCCUGGUGUUCUUUUUAUUGUUGUCUCAUCUACUAUUUAUUAGCUACAUUUAGAUAUAGCAGUUGUGAUUUCAUCACUCUCUAUAUAUUCGGCUUCCGCAACAAUUGGUAUCAGAGCCAAGGUAUUAUCUGAGUAUGCUCUGUGGUUGCAGCACAAUCUGAACUUCCACAUCAGAAAAGAUUUACUUUGGUCUUUGCAUUGUUAGCUAGUAAAUAGUAUUUGUAGCAAAAAGGGGAGACAAUAAAAAUGAUGAGUCCACAUUGAAUGUCAUUAAUACGUCAUCAUUGGCAUCUUCGCUUAUGACACGAAUUUUGUCAAACGCAAAAUUUGCAGUUGAAAUUUUUGACAGGUCAGGACAUUUCGGAAUGUGGCAAGGCGAGGUCCUUCAUGUUCUUUUUCAACAAGGGCUAGAUAUUGCCAUAGAAGAAAAGAAACCAGACGGUGUAGGAGAAGAAGAUUGGAAGAUUAUCAACCGUGUUGCUUGCGGUACCAUUCGAUCUUACCUAGCAAGAGAACAAAAGUAUCCAUACACGAAGGAAACAUCUGCAAAUAAAUUAUGGAAUUCAUUGGAGGAGAAAUUCUAGAAGAAAAAUAAUCAAAAUAAACUUUAUAUGAAAAGAAAACUGUUACGCUUCACUUAUAUUCCUGGUAGCACAAUGAAUGAUCAUAUCACCAGCUUAAUUAAGUUGGCGACAAAUUUGCGGAAUAUGGACGCGACUUUUACGGAUGGAGAUAUGGCCUUAAUGUUGUUAAGUUCACUUCCCNNNNNNNNNNNNNNNNNNNNNNNNNNNNNNNNNNNNNNNNNNNNNNNNNNNNNNNNNNNNNNNNNNNNNNNNNNNNNNNNNNNNNNNNNNNNNNNNNNNNNNNNNNNNNNNNNNNNNNNNNNNNNNNNNNNNNNNNNNNNNNNNNNNNNNNNNNNNNNNNNNNNNNNNNNNNNNNNNNNNNNNNNNNNNNNNNNNNNNNNNNNNNNNNNNNNNNNNNNNNNNNNNNNNNNNNNNNNNNNNNNNNNNNNNNNNNNNNNNNNNNNNNNNNNNNNNNNNNNNNNNAAAGGGCACUGGAAGAAAGACUGCCCAAAGUUGAAAAACAAAGCCAAACCAAAUAAUAGGAAGGCUGUCAUGGAUUCAAAUGUGGCUGAUUGUGAUGACUCCGAUUACUCACUAGUUACAACAGAUCCAUCCAAAUCAUCUGAUGUAUGGUUGAUGGACUCAGUUUGUAGCUAUCAUAUGGUCCCAAUAGGGACUGGUUUGUUGAUUUACAAGAAGGAGAAUGUGGAGUUAUUCACACCGCAAACAAUAAUCCUCUUACCGCAUAUGGUGUUGGUUCAAUUCAAUUAAGGAAUCAUGAUGGAUUGACCAGAACAUUAACAGAUGUUCGGUAUGUACCGAAUUUGAAGAAGAAUCUCAUUUAUGUUGGAGCCCUAGAGUCAAAGGGAUUCAAAGUCAUUGCAGAUAAUGGCGUAAUGAGAAUAUGCUCCGGUGCGCUGGUGGUAAUGAAAACAAUUCGAAGAAAUAACAACAUGUACCGCUAUCAAGGUAGUACAGUUAUUGGGACAGCAGUAACAACAUCCAAUGACGACAAGGAGGCAGAAAUGACCAGGCUGUGGCAUAUGCGCUUGGGACAUGCUGGAGGAAAAUCCUUGAAAACUUUAUCAGAUCAAGGAUUGCUAAAAAGAGUAAAAACUUGCAACUUGGAGUUUUGUGAGCAUUGCGUCAAGGGAAAGCAAACAAGGGUUAAAUUUGGAACAACUAUCCAUACUACUAAAGGUAUUUUGGAUUAUGUUCAUUCAGAUGUUUGGGGUGCUUCCAAAACACCUUCAUUAGGUGGGAAACACUAUUUUGUAACCUUUGUUGAUGACUUUUCCCGAAGACUGUGGGUGUAUACGAUGAAAACAAAAGAUGAAGUAUUGGGAAAUUUUCUCAAAUGGAAGGCGAUGAUAGAAACUCAAAGUGGCAAAAAGAUCAAGUGUCUUCGCACAUACAAUGGCGGAGAAUACAAAAAUGAUCUUUUUCUGAAAAUUUGUGAGGAAAAUGGCAUCGUCAGACAUUUCACCAUCAGAAAUACACCACAACAGAAUGGAGUGGCAGAAUGCAUGAACCGAACUUUGCUGGAGAAGGUUCGGUGUAUGUUGUCCAAUGCUGGCUUGGGCAAAGAAUUUUGGGCUGAGGCAAUAACAUAUGCAUGCCACUUCAUUAAUCAUCUACCAUGUGCUGCUAUAGGUGGGAAGACACCAUUAGAAAAAUGGUAUGGAAAACCUGCUGAAGAUUAUGGUUCUUUAUAUGUAUUUGGCUCAAUUGCAUAUUAUCAUGUAAGGGAGUCAAAAUUGGACCCAAGAGCAAAGAAAGCUUUAUUUAUGGGAAUUACUUCUGGAGUUAAGGGAUAUCGUUUAUAGUGUCCAGAGACAAGAAAAAUUAUUUUCAGCAGGGAUGUUACCUUUGAUGAAUCUGCCUUGACAAAUAAGAUAACAGUUGAAGAAGUCAAACAAACUGAUGGUGCUUCAAAGCAGGUGAAGUUUGAGGGAAAGAUAAUUUUUCCAACACAUGGAUCAAAUGAGGAAACAACAAAAGUUUUUCCUCUGGAAGAAGAGCCAGUCGAAGGGGAGGUUCCAUCUCAAGAACCUCAACCACAACUUGAAUCAAUAGCAACCAGCAAGCCAAAAAGGACAAUAAGAAAACCUGCUCGACUCAUAGAUGUCGUGGCUUGUGCGGACUCAAUUGCAGCGGAUGACAUUCCUACCACUUAUAAAGAUGCAGUCCAAAGUUCAGAAGAAGAUAAGUGGAGAUUUGCCAUCGAUGAAGAAAUGCAGUCCUUUCAUCAGAAUCAUACAUGGAAAAUGGCCAAUCUCCCGGAUGGCAAGAAAGCAAUUGGGUGUAAAUGGGUAUUUGCAAAGAAAGAAGGAUUUCCUAACCAAGAAGAUGUUCGCUACAAAGAAAGAUUGGUGGCCAAAGGAUACGCUCAAAAGGAGGGAAUUGACUAUAAUGAGGUAUUUUCUCCAGUUGUGAAACACUCCUCCAUUAGAGUUUUGUUGGCUUUGGUAGCACAGUUGAAUUUGGAACUAUUUCAGUUGGAUGUAAAAACUGCAUUUUUACAUGGAGACUUGGAAGAGGAAAUCUACAUGACUCAGCCAGAAGGAUUCAAAGUUGAUGGAAAAGAAAAUAUGGUGUGCAAACUUGAAAAAUCGUUGUAUGGAUUGAAACAAUCUUCUAGACAAUGGUACAAACGAUUUGACAAGUUUAUGUUGCAGCAAAGGUACAUAAGAAGCAAAUACGAUCAUUGUGUGUAUUUGCGCAAGCUUGAAGACGAUUCCUUUAUAUAUCUUCUCCUAUAUGUUGAUGAUAUGUUACUAGCUUCUAAAAGUCAAGAGGAAAUUGAGAAGCUAAAGAUUCAACUAAAAAAGGAGUUUGAGAUGAAGGAUUUGGGUGAGGCAAAGAGGAUUCUUGGCAUGGAGAUAAAAAGAGAUCGACAUUCAAAAAAACUUUUUUUAUCUCAAAAAGAAUAUUUGAAGAGGGUACUAAAUCGAUUUGGCAUGAAUGAGAAAACAAAGUCGGUUAGCACUCCGCUUGCUCCUCAUUUUAAGCUUAGUGAUGCUAUGUCGCCAAAGAAUGAAGUUGCACGAGAAUAUAUGUUAAGAGUACCAUAUGCGAAUGUUGUUGGUAGCUUGAUGUAUGCAAUGGUUUGCACAAGGCCAGAUAUUUCACACGUUGUUGGAGUUGUAAGCAGGUAUAUGCAUAAUCCUGGAAAGGAUCAUUGUCAGGCUGUAAAAAUAGAUUCUAUGGUAUAUUCAUAAUAUUGUAGAUAUUGGCUUGGUUUAUGAGCAUAAAUGUAACAUCCGGCAAUGUGAAAUAAUUGAAGAGGCUUAGAAUUGGAAAUUUUCAUUUUUGGAAAGGAUUUGAAAAUCUGGAAAAUUUUGGCUAAGUAUGGAAAAUGUGAAUUUUCGGCCAACUUUGAACAGCCAUAAAUUCUAGCUCAAGAUGAUUUAGGUGGAAUUCCAGUUAUGGUUGUAAAGUUCGUGGAACGAUCUUUCCAACGCCACUGAGUUUGCUCAAUUCCGAGUUNNNNNNNNNNNNNNNNNNNNNNNNNNNNNNNNNNNNNNNNNNNNNNNNNNNNNNNNNNNNNNNNNNNNNNNNNNNNNNNNNNNNNNNNNNNNNNNNNNNNNNNNNNNNNNNNNNNNNNNNNNNNNNNNNNNNNNNNNNNNNNNNNNNNNNNNNNNNNNNNNNNNNNNNNNNNNNNNNNNNNNNNNNNNNNNNNNNNNNNNNNNNNNNNNNNNNNNNNNNNNNNNNNNNNNNNNNNNNNNNNNNNNNNNNNNNNNNNNNNNNNNNNNNNNNNNNNNNNNNNNNNNNNNNNNNNNNNNNNNNNNNNNNNNNNNNNNNNNNNNNNNNNNNNNNNNNNNNNNNNNNNNNNNNNNNNNNNNNNNNNNNNNNNNNNNNNNNNNNNNNNNNNNNNNNNNNNNNNNNNNNNNNNNNNNNNNNNNNNNNNNNNNNNNNNNNNNNNNNNNNNNNNNNNNNNNNNNNNNNNNNNNNNNNNNNNNNNNNNNNNNNNNNNNNNNNNNNNNNNNNNNNNNNNNNNNNNNNNNNNNNNNNNNNNNNNNNNNNNNNNNNNNNNNNNNNNNNNNNNNNNAAAGGGAAGUUAGAGUCAAGCCAAGCAAGGUUAAAGAGUAGGUUCAAGCAAGUCUUUAAAGCUUUUCAAGAGUCGUUAUUGAACGUCUUAACGUCGUUUCAAGUCUCAAGUUGAGUUAAGAUUUUCAAGUCAAGUCAAAAGUAAAGAGUUCAAGUAAAGUAAUGAGUAAUGAGUCGAGUCCAUUUCUCCAAAGUUAAUAGGGAACUAUGUACUUCCCAAAGAAGUUUCUAAAUGUUUUUACAUUUAAGUAAGAAAGGAACCAUGUUUUCCAAAAGAGCCUUUGGGCUAAGCUUUGAGUAAUUAUCUCAAACUAAAGAAAGAAGUUAUUUUAAAAGCAUGAGCCAAAGUAUUUUUGGGAGUAGUAUUGAGCACCGAAUUGGGGACACGAGUUCAUAUUAACUCAACUCUCCAUAAGAACCAUGCGCCAACAUGGGACUUGACGUAUCAUUCUUUUAAGAUGACGUAAGAUUAGGCUAGUGGAUCCACUAAGCAAAAGUAAGGUCCUAUAUCGAUGGCAAGGUAUAGGAUGGUCCUUUGGCAACGUGAGGUAAAACGUUGUAUCAUCACUAAGGCUCGUAGUGGUGGUUGUCGGUUAAAGAACCUCCCACAAAAGCUGUAUUAUGUUUAUAAAAGAAAAGUUGAGUUGUUAUCAUUUUAUCCUUAACGAUCUAAGUUGUUUACAUUCUUUUACAAGCUUUAUAUGUAUGGCUUGUGUCCUAUUGCUUUACUUUGAGUCCAGUUAUUUAUAUGAGUUGUUCAGAGUCAAGGUAAGUGAUCUCUUAUUCUCCUUUCAAGCUUAAGUUGUGGUUCGGCUUUUCCAGCUCACAUAUUCGUACAUUCCAUGUACUGAUGCCAGUUGGCCUGCAUCGUCUUAUGAUGCAGAUACAGGUACCCCGGAUCAGCAUCCUGCACGUCGUUGAUCCAGCUGAGCACUCCAGAGUCUGUGGUGAGCCUCCUUGCAUUCCGGAGGACUCCAAUUAUUUUAGUGUACUUAGUUUGUUCUAUUAGGGUGUUGCGGGGUCUGUCCCCACAUCCAUCUCAGUAUAUUAGAGGCUUCAAUAGACAGUCAGACAGUCAGUCAGUCAGUUAGUUUUGAGUCUCUCAUCCAUGUAUAUGUAUAUAUAUGUAAAUAUUCUAUUUUGAGACUCGAGUUGCCCUUUGGGCCAUAUUUUUAUUAGUUAAGUUGUUUAUGUCUUUGCAUGACACUGAGUUAUUCUGUUGAGUUAGGUUUCCGCUGAGUUAAGAAAGCCAGGCCAAGGGUUUGCCUGGGGCCAACAAUGGUCUCCAGGUGCCGAUCCCGCCCAGGGUGUAGGCUCGGGGCGUGACAAUAAAGAUAGUCAAUAUCUUGUUGGAUAUUGUGACUCAGAUUAUGCAGGUGAUUUGGACAAACGAAGAUCAACUACUGGUUAUGUUUUCACUAUUGCAAACGCACCAGUUAGUUGGAAGUCUACUUUGCAGUCAACAGUUGCUUUCUCUACCACUGAGGCAGAGUAUAUGGCAAUUACAGAGGCUGCGAAGGAGGCAAUUUGGGUUCAAAGAUUGCUUAGAGAGCUUGGUAUUGGACAAGAAGGAGUCACUAUAUGUAGUGAUAGUCAAAGUGCUAUUCAAUUAGCAAAGAACCAAGUUUAUCAUGCAAGGACGAAGCACAUUGAUGUCCGAUAUCAUUUCAUACGAGACAUCAUAAAAGAAGGUGGAGUCAUAGUGCAGAAAAUUCAUACUACGGAUAAUCCUGCCGAUAUGCUGACAAAAGUGGUAACUGCGGUUAAGUUUCAACAUUGUUUGAACUUGAUCAACAUUGUUGAACAUUGAAGAUUGAGGUUGAAGACACAAUCAAAAGUUGUUGAGAGAAAGUUGAAAAUGGAGAAUCUUGCCAAGGUGGAGAUUUGUUAAAUUUGACAAGAUUCAAAGAUGAAUUAAUGUGAAGAUUUUGGGUAGUUUAGGGAAGAUAAUUCUUCAUUGGUACAAAAGUCAAGAUAACAUCUUUUGUAGGUGAAAUUUAGGUGAACUAUAAAAUGGUUUCACAUGGUAAAUCUUGACAUUUUGACACAUUGUGAUGUCAUGGAUGACAUCAAUAGGAAGAAUUCACUCUUAUAAAUAGGUAGUUCCUAAAUUCAUUUGUAACACACCUCUCACUUGCCUUCUCAUCUUCAAAGGCAUUUGAUCUUCUUUCUCUCUUGUAGUAUUUCACUUGUACCCUUUUGGACUGAAAUAAAUAUUGGUUGGUUGUGUCCGAGGAGUAGGCAAAAGAAAACAAAAGUUUGCCGAACCUCGUUAAUUCCUGGUGUUCUUUUUAUUGUUGUCUCAUCUACUAUUUAUUAGCUACCUUUAGAUAUAGCAGUUGUGAUUUCAUCACUCUCUAUAUAUUCGGCUUCCGCAACAGUUAAGUUAAAUAUAUACAUACUAUAUAUAUAAAUUUGAGGUAUGAUGUACCACUUUUUUUUUUGGUCAAGUAUAUCUUAAACUUAACAUAGAUUUAAGACUACUUAUAUUGUUCAAUAGCUAAAAAAAAUAGUCCAAGUGGUUAAUCGAACUACAUUGAAUAAAAAAAUAUUAAUGAAAUCAUUAAAUUACACUAAACGAAUUUAGGAGAAUUAAAAAGAACAUUUAUAAUUAUUUCAAUAUAAAUAAAAAGAAAAUUAAAUUACAAAGAAAUUUAGGAAAAUGAAUAAAGAGAUAAAUUUUGUCAUUUAGGGGUCUUAUCCAAGGUUUAACAAACCUUGAAUUAGUUAUCCCUCCAUUUACUAGGGAUAAAAUAAGACCAUAUAUGAUGUAUAAGCAAUCCAUGGAUUCAAUAAAAUAAUGUAACCAAAUAAUGUAUUAGAUGGAUUAAAUUUUAAUCCAUGGACUAUUCUAUUUAAUACCGCCUACCAAACGAGUCCUUAAGACUAACAUUUAGGGAAAAUAUUUGAAACUUUCCCUUACCCCAAACACACAAAUGAAUUUGAUAAUUGCCAAAAAAAUGAAUAUAGUUAUUGUUGUAAUACUAAUUUAAGAUGAGCACCUGUUUUCGGUCUAGCAACUUGUCUUUCUAUAAUCUUUUCGUGCAAAUGAAAAUCCGUUCUUUCCUUAGCAAUUGCAUCUAGUUUCUCCAUCAUCUCUUUUAUCCUUUUACCAAUCUUGUGACGGAAAGCAAUAGUCUUUGGAUGAUAACGCCCUAAUCGAGACUGCUUGAGUCUUGCUCCCUCAUAUUUACAUUCGUCCAAUAUGUCAUCAACUUUAUACGCAGCAGCAUUGAGUUUCUGUAACCAGCUUUUAAUUGCUUUGUCCUUAAGUUGCUUCUCCUGAGCAUCUUCAAGCACCGCUUGGAUUGUAGAAAACCUGCUCGAAAUAUUUUCAAACUCAUUUUCAAAACCGAGAAGUAAUCCAAGUUCCCCUUGGAUGAAAGAAGUGAUAUUUUCUAGCAGAAUUUGAAGGAAAGCUUCAGCCAUAUAUAAAUGUUGAACUUAAAAUUAGAUAUAUGUGUAGAUUACUGGAAUUGUUGUGAGUUAGCAAUGAAUCUAAGUAAGAUGUUGGAAUGAAAUAUAGAAAGCUGAAACUCAAUUAUUCCACCAUGGACCCAUGUCUCUCUGUUGGAAUGUAUGCGUCCACUAUCAGUCAACGGACCAAGUUCCUUGACUCAGCAAGAACAGUAGCUGAAGUAAAAGUGUGGAAAAUAAAUUCCUCAAAGUAAAUCGGGCACAAUGGUUUUACGUGGAAACCUCCUUGCUCAAGGGAGUAAAACCAUGAUCUGUCACAUAGGAUUUUCAACUGUUUUCACUAAUCUUCUCAAGCAAAAAUGAAACACAAAUUACAACCAUCAAUGAGAUUAAAUUCUUAGUCUCAACACUAAGUAAUACACCUAUUACUUACUGAGCCUAAGCAAUAAUUCGAUUGCCCACUAAACUAACUAACUCUAGUUGAUCUAGACUUUAAGAACCCCACAAGGCUAACUCUAGCCACCAACUCCGAUCUCCAAGACAUGAGCUUAAACAAGUAGCAACUCUGCUGCACCACACAUCAACAAACUUUAGUUGACACUCCUAGGCAACUAUACCUAAGAGAACAUCAAACAAUUAUGUAAUAAGGCAUGACCAAAACUUAGAUGAUUCGACUAACUAACCCUAGUUAAUACGACUCAAAACUAAAUACUUAGACAAGCAAAUGAUCUACUAUCCUUUAUAACUUAGGAGUAGAUUUACAGUGUAAGCACAUAAGACACAAAGCUCAAAAUACAACAAAGACUCUUCUUCACUUUAUUAGGUCCCUUUGUUGAGUUGAGCAGUGUUCUUCCUUGAAGAUGCCAUCUCUUUGUAAGCUUAUGAAUUUUUAGAAAUUCAAAUCUUUAUUUGCCAAAUCUUAAAUUAGUAUAAAAUUAAACAAGUAGACACGUGUGCCCCAUGUGACAUAAUACACGUUUAUGUAUUAUGUGUGGGUGCAUUUGAGGGAAACUAUUGCACAUGGCCAUGGGGUCAUGUCUUUCAUUGUUGCCCACCACAAAGACUUUUCUCUGUCAAAGUUCUCCACAUAACCAUGAGGCACAGCUUUCAUGUAUUUUCUUUCCCUUACUGAUUACCCACAGCUGCCCACCACCUACAUUUUUCUUGUGUGGUAGUUGAAUAUUCAUUUCUUUUAGUACUUACAGCAGGCUAAAUUACAAAUUCAUAUGUGAAGUUUGUUAUCAAUUUAACCCACAAAUAAAAUUGAUUACCACUAAAUCGAUACUGAAUUAUUAACUGAUAUAUAUCUUAUUCUUUUGAUUAACGAUUUAGUACAUUUAACAUUCGAUAACUAAUAAACCGAAUCAUUAAGUGUGAAUAUCCAACCGAACCACUCAAUAAGCACCCUACCGAAACCACUAGUGUUUUGUUGCAUAAAAAUAACAAAGCUAAAGUUUGUAACUAUAAUAUACUUUAAUUUUUUUUAUUGAGUAACAUUUAAUUGCAAUUUAAAACUUAAAUAUACUCAUAGAAGUACACAUUUUGAACAAAUCUGAAUCUGGAAAUUAGAGAAUACAAGAACUCAAGAAAGGAAGAAGAACAGAGAGAAUCAAUUUGAGAAUUUUUAUCUGUAUUGAAGUUGUAUUGAAGUUAAUAUAUACAAGUUACUUACAAGUAUAUAUAUACACUUUUCAUCUAACUAACUAUGCUGCCAGCUGGCUAACUAACUUUACAAUUCAUUAUCCAACUAACUUUACAUAUCACUAACCAACUAACUUAGUGAUUCUAACUCAGCUAACUUGUACUGCUCCAUUGUUUAUGUUACACCUGAAUUCUCAAUACUCCCCCUCAAACUAGGUCCCAUGAAGACAUUCAGGACUCCUAGUUUGGAUAAUAGGUACUCAUGUUGUGUCCUUCCCAAUGCCUUUGUUAGUAGAUCUGCUAGUUGAUCAUGUGAAGAUACAUAUACAGUUUUGAUUAACCCUUGCUGAAUCUUCUCCCUUAUGAAAUGACAGUCUAUUUCGAUGUGUUUAGUUCUUUCAUGAAAUACUGGAUUCGCAGCUAUUUGGAUAGCAGCCUUGCUAUCACAAUAUAUUGAUAUUGGACCUUCAAUCUUGAUUCCCAACUCUUUUGCCAGAUUAUUUACCCAGACUACUUCAGCUGUUAACCCUGCCAGACUUCUAUACUCAGCUUCAGCUGAGCUCCUUGAGAUUGUUGCCUGCUUUUUAGAUUUCCAAGCAAUGAGAGAGUUCCCUAACUUCAAUAUGUAUCCUGUCACAGACCUUCUGGUGUUUGGGCAUGCAGCCCAAUCUGCAUCACAAUACCCUGUUAACCUCAUGUCCUUCUCUGAUGACAUUAGCAGUCCUAGCCCUGGUUGAGUCUUAAUGUAUCUCAAAACUCUUAAUGUUGCAUUCCAAUGCUGCUUUGUAGGCUUCUGCAUAAAUUGGCUCAGUGUUUGCACAGUGUAUGCAAUAUCAGGUCUAGUGUUCGUCAAAUAAAGUAGUUUCCCAAUCAUCCUCUGAUAUUGUUGUACAUCUUCAACUAGUUCAGUUGCUUGAUCAGCAUCCUCCUCAGCUAUAGUUAACUUUAUGUUGAAUUCCAAAGGAGUCAAUGCCACUUUUCCUCCUGUUAAUCCAGCUUCAGCUAGUAGUUCUAACGCAUACUUUCUCUGAUUCAUUAGGAUUCCCCUGCUUGAUCUACUGAAUUCAAUUCCUAAGAAGAACUUCAGUUCUCCUAAAUCCUUAAUCCUGAAGGAUUGAUGGAGAACCUGUUUAGUUUCUUUGAUCAACUGUGUGUCAUUUCCAGUUAUAAGUAAGUCAUCCACAUAAACUAAAAUAGAUUACCAUCUUGUGUCCUUGUUUCUUUGUGAAUAAGGAAUAGUCCAAAUGACUCUGUUAGUAUCCUGAUCCCAUCAGUGCUUCUGUCAAUUUGAAGUUCCAUUGUCUGGAGGCUUGUUUGAGUCCAUACAAGGACUUGGCAAGCUUGCAGCAGACCUUAGGUGUCUCCCCCUGAACCUUCAACCCCUUGGGUAGCUCCAUAUAAACAUCCUCCAAUAAGUCACCUUGCAAGAAGGCAUUAUAGACAUCCAUUUGAAACAAGGGCCAAUUCUCAGCAGCAGCUAAUGCAACAACAGUUCUUACUGUCACCAUUUUCACAACUGGUGAAAAGGUCUCUUGAUAAUCAAUUCCAGCAGUUUGAUUGUACCCCUUAGCUACAAGUCUUGCUUUAUACCUUUCUACAGUACCAUCAGACCUGUACUUGAUUUUAAAAACCCAUUUACACCCAAUAACUGACUGAUUAUGAGGCAAGGGAACCACCUUCCAAGUCCCAUUAUCCUUCAAAGCCUGCAGCUCUUGAGUCAUAGCAUGAACCCAUUUAGAGUCUGUUAUAGCUUCUUCAUAUGUGGAUGGUUCCACAUCAGUGGAGAUGUUGGCUAUAUAUGCUUGAUAUGGUGGAGAAAUAUGUUGAUAAGAAACAUAAUUACCCAUAGGGUAAAAAACCUGCUUUCCAACCUUAUGACCAGUGUGAUAAUCUUGGUGCCAAGUAGGUGUUGUUGUAGCUCUAGUUGACCUUCUAGGAGCAGGAGUGGCAACAUCUGCAGUUGAUGUAUGAUUUGGAUUUAUCUCAUCAACAACUGAUGUCUCUACUGUAGGUUCACUGGUUUCACCAUCUGGAAUCAAGUCACUACUAAAACUGUUGGUAUCAGUAUGUAUGCCUGGACCAACUAAGAAAUGCUCAUCCUCAUCAAAUUGUACUGGUGUAGCAGGUAUGGAAGUAAUAUCAGGAAGGCAUUGAGAAGAAUUAAUCUUGAAUGGAAACACAUUCUCAUGAAAUAUUACAUCUCUGCUCACCAAUAUCUUCCUGUCAUGUAAGUCAAAAAGGAUGUAACCUUUUUAGUAGCAGAAUAUCCUAAGAGAGCACAUGCAGCAGCCCUGGGCGAAAAUUUGUCAACUUUAACAAUCUUAGUUGCAUAACAAAGACAACCAAGCACUCUUAGAUGAUCUAGGGAAGCUUUAUGCUUAUGAAAUACUUCAUAUGGAGACUUACCCUUAAGCACUGGUGUGGGUAAUCUAUUGAUCAGAUACACUGCAGUCAAUACACAUUCACCCCAAAAUCUAAUUGGUAUACUUCCUUGAAACCUAAGGGCUCGAGCCACCUCUAAUAUAUGCCUAUGCUUCCUUUGUACAACUCCAUUUUGUUAUGGAGUGUGAGGACAACUACUUUGAUGUAUAGUCCCUGUGCUUUCAAACAGAACUUUGCAUUCAUUAUUGAAAAAUUCACUACCAUUGUCUGAUCUAAAAAUCUUCACAGUAGAGGCAAAUUGAGUUCUUAUCAUUGAAAUGAAAUUCUUUAAUACAGUGACAACAUCUGACUUCAAUCUGAUCAAAUACAACCAUGUCAUCCUGCUGUAAUCAUUAACUAAAGUCAAAAAAUAUCUAAAGCCAUUAUGAGUAGCUGUUUUAUAUGGCCCCCAAACAUCUAAAUGUAUCAUAUCAAACAUUCUACUCCUUCUAGUACAACUCAAAAUAAAAGGCAAUCUAGUUUGUUUUGCUAAAGGGCAGACUGUGCAUUUAUUCUGAAUGUGUUUAUCAUGUCCUUCCACUGCUAACGACAUUCUCCUUAGAACAUUGAUUGAUGGAUGUCCUAGUCUCUUGUGCCAUAAUAGGUCUAUUCCAUCAUUGUGUACAUUGACAUUCAUAAGCUUUGGACCAUUGUUGUUACUAGGAUGAUUAUUAUUUGGAUCCAUCAACCAAUAUAGGCCUCCACUUUCUUUACCAAUCCCCUUCACUUUCCCAGUGGAGAGGUCCUGAAAUACACAAAAUUCAGGGAAAAAUACAAUUGAGCAUUGCAAUUGUUUAGUGAGCUGUGACACAGAUAAUAGGUCAUACUUAAAAUUAGGCACUGCUAACACAUCUUUCAAGACAUCUUUACCAUUCCAUUUAUACUUGCCAAUAUGAGAAAUUAUGGUGGUUUGGCCAUUAGGUAAAUGGACUUGUUUUUCAUUGCCUUGUGGAGGAACAUGUGUGUCAAAUAAUGCUUUCAAGUCUGAAAUAAUAUGUUUGCUAGCUCCUGAAUCCACUAUCCAUUGUUUGCGAGUAUAGUCAUCUUUAUUAUCUACCAGAUAAGCAUGUGCAAUACCUGUCAUGUUAGCUGCUCCUGCCAUGUUGGCUGCUGUAUCGACAGUCCCUUUUUCUUUGCUGAGCAUUCUGAGUAUCUGUCCAUAUUGCUCCUUUGUGAAUACUGGUUGUUCCAUAGGAUGCAUAUCUUACACAUCUUGGCCCCUCACAUCUGCAUUGAAAGGGUUGAAAACAUCAUCAUAAUCAACUGCAUUUGCUAACCUUGUUUCCCCAUAUUUCUUCUUGAAUUUGGGAUGACCAGGAGGGUAUCCAACUACUCUGUAACAUGUAUCCUUGGUGUGUCCUUUCAACUUGCAUACUUCACAUUGCAGAUUGUAGUUCCUUUUCUGUCUCUGUGAAUUAGAAGUAGAGCCACCACCUUGGAAAUUGUAACCCAUAGCAUUCGAAGAAUUGCUGCCAGUAAGUGAAUAACCAGAGUUGUUGAUUCCUAGACUAGUGUUUCCCUCAUGAAAGUUACCUUGAUAACUAGGCUUAUUAGAACUAUUACUCCCAACAUAAAGAGCAGUUGAUGAUGAUUCUCCCAAUUCAAUCCCUGAGUACGAACCAGCAGUCAUUCUUUGACCUUCAUCAGCCACAAUCAUUGAAUAGGCUUUGUUUAGAGAUGGCAGAGGUAUCAUCAUAAGAAUUUGGCUUCUCUGUUGGUUGUAAGACUCAUUCAAUCCCAUGAGAAAAGCAAACAAACGCAUAUACUGCAGAUGACUAGCAUACACCUUCGAUUUGUCACAACCACAUGAUGGAGGAGGGACAAGUGCAUCAAAUUCAUCCCAAAGUACACGCAAUUUCGUAAAAUAUGCAGAUACAGACGAGUUACCUUGUGCAAUUGUACAGAUCUCUCUGUGUAGUUGGUAACCUCUUGAGCCAUCUACCUUGUCAAAUCGUUCCUUCAAAUCAGACCAAACCACUGAUGCAUCUGUGGCGUAUACGAUCCCACUCAUGAGUUCCUUUGACACAGAGUUGAGAAUCCAAGAUAAAACGAACGCAUUACACUUCUCCCACUGCUCCUCUAGAUCAUCUCCAUAAUCACUUUUCUUGCAGGUUCCAUAUACAAAACCUAAUUUGCUCUUAGCUCGAAGUGUGAGAAUCAUUCAUCUACUCCACACAGCGUAGUUCUCGACACCUGUGAGUUGAAUACUCGUUAACAAUGAUCCUGGAGUAUCUGAUUGAUGAAGAUACAGGGGAUGAUUACGUUGCUUCUCGACUGUCUCAAUUGUAUCCUUGCUUCCCAUGAUUCUUUGAGGAAAUUAGAAAAUCUUGAAUACUGAUUAACCAGAUUAGCUGCGGAAGAGAAGAUCGAAACGAGAACUUGAAUCAAACUUUGUAGUGUGAAUAUCCAACCGAACCACUCAAUAAGCACCCUACCGAAACCACUAGUGUUUUGUUGCAUAAAAAUAACAAAGCUAAAGUUUGUAACUAUAAUAUACUUUAAUUUUUUUUAUUGAGUAUUGAACAAAUCUGAAUCUGGAAAUUAGAGAAUACAAGAACUCAAGAAAGGAAGAAGAACAGAGAGAAUCGAUUUGGGAAUUUUUAUCUGUAUUGAAGUUUUAUUGAAGUUGUAUUUAUACAAGUUACUUACAAGUAUAUAUAUACACUUUUCAUCUAACUAACUAUGCUGCCAGCUGGCUAACUAACUUUACAACUCAUUAUCCAACUAACUUUACAUAUCACUAACCAACUAAUUUAGUGAUUCUAACUAAGCAAACUUGUACUGCUUUAUUGUUUAUGUUACACCUGAAUUCUCAAUAAGUAUCAAACUAUAUAUAAUACUUGUGUGAGGCGUUUUAUAGAUUGACAUGUGGAGGGGUUAAGUUCAUAAAUGUUCCUUAUAUGAGCUGGUGUUUGUAAUAAAUUUUUUCAAAUAGGAAAAUAUACUGCAAUCACAAAAUAAAUAAGAAGAAUAAUAUUAUUUAUCAAAAUUAUAAGUACAAAUAUGUUGAUCCCUUGAUUCUUCCGUUAUAAGAUUUAUCUAUGAUUCGAGGGUUGUAGUGACAUAUUUCUCAGAUUAAAAUGUUUGGAUUUGAUAUCUUUGUGAAUAUUACCUGAAUUUGCGGAAUAUUCGAGAUGAAUAUAAUACACCUUACAGAGGCAUGAACUAAGGUUUGGAGUUGAGUAGCUCUCAACAAUCCCAAGAGGAAUCAAACACGUUUUGUAGAGUCCCAUAAACUUUCAAUGUCUACAAAUGCCCUGCCCUGCUUCAAGGCUUGUCGAGUGUAGACCUGAUCAAACUAAUAGACGAGGCUUGAAAUACUCAUUCUUCCACCUUUGCGAUUUUGUGGCAUCAGAUUUAAAGCUUUGAUUUGUAGUGAGAAAAGAGAUGAAGGACAAAUCUAGUCCCAUUGACUAUGUCAAUUUGUUUGCGACAAAUUUUCUCAAGUAUGAAAAUAUACUACAAUCACAAAAUAAAUAAGAAUAAAAAUAUUAUUCAUCAAGAUUGUGAGCACAAAUCUGAUCUUGAUAUUUUGUUCCCCAUAAGAAAAUCUUGUAAAAAUAAGCUAAAAAAGAACAAAGAAAACCUCCAUUCGUUUAACAAAAUUUUCAUGAGCAAAAUUGUCCCCCAAACCUAAUCAAUUAAAGAAAUGGAACUAAAAAAAAUCAUUUUUUUCCUCUACGUUCUUUCUUUCUUAUUCUUUUUAUUUUCGUUUUUUUGUCUUUUGUCUUUUCUUCCUUCUUUUUCUUAUUUUUUGUCUUCCCCUUCUUCUUUUUUCUUUCUUUUUCCUUUUUUGUUUUUUUCUUUAUUACUUUUUUUUCAAUUUUUUCCCUCUUUUCCUUUUUCUUUAUUCUCUUUGUAUACAAGUUAUGUUUCAUGGGCAAAAGUUGAUACUAUGUCUUGAUUUAUGAGAUGGUCUAUAAUUCUUGUCUUAAAGAACAUAAUUUCAAAACAAUAAAUUAUUCCUCGUGAGAAAGAUUUGAUAUUAUCAUAUUGUGUCUUAAUUUAUCAGAUGUUCUUUAAUUCCUACCUUAGAUGUACUACCUAACCCAAAUACUUUCAAAGAACACAUUACAUACCAUGGACAAGAUAUCUUGAUUUAUGAGACACUCAUAACUAUACCAAGAACUUCAAAACAACAAGUUACGCCCCAUGGGUAAGACUUACACUGUCAUAUUGUGUAUUUGAUUUAUGAGAUGCUUUAUAACUCUUGCCUCUAAGGCAAAAGUUAGACCAAAAGCUUCAAAACAACAAGUUACGCAUCAUGGGCAUAAAUGAACCAAACUUUAAACAGAUGACAUAAAUGAGCCUUUUCUUCUCGUUCGAUGACAUUUUGAGCUUUUUCCUUUUUAAAAAUGAUUUAAUUAAUGAUGUGGACGAAUCAUAAUUAACCACGUGUAACAAAUGAUUUUGCAAAAUGAAAUUUUUUUCAGUUAAUAAAUAAUGGCAUAGAUGAGCCUAUUCUCAAACAAAAAUGACAUAGAUAAACCAAACUCUAAAAAAAUGACAUAAAUGAGUCUUUUCUCAAAGUUCGAUGACAUAUUUGAGCUUUUUCCCUUUGUUUUAAUGGGAUUGUAGGUUUAGUUUGGUGACAUGGACCACUAACAAGAGGCCACGUGACAAAGUUCUUUUUACAAAUUGAUCAUUGAAAACUAAUGGUAUAAAUGCACAUGUUUUAUAAUGACGAUGAUAUAAAUGAGCCAAUUUUUUUACCGACAAAGAAAUAAGUCAUUUCUAAAAUUAGUUUCUAUAUUAUGACAUAGAAGUUAAGUUAUCAUUAUUAAUUGUCACUCCUACAAUCUUGUAAUACUACUUUUGUCUAAAAAAUAUCUUGUAAAGUACUACUUUUGUCUAAAAAAUUAUUUAUGAUGAUUGAUGAGCACUUGCUUCCCGUCUAGCAUCUUGUUUCUCAAGGACCACUUGGAUUGCAGAGAACAUACUUGAAAGCCUUUGAAACUCAUUUUGAAAAUUGAAAUGCAAUGCAAGUUCUCCUUUGAGAAAAGAAGUGAGAUUGUCUAGCACAACUUGAAGGAAAGCUUCUUGUCAUAUAACUUAAUUAGUUUUAGAUAAUAUUUAUGUCCCUUAAUUUUUGGUGUAUAAAAGAAACACUUAAAUUUAUAUAAAGUUAAAUAAGUAGACACGUCACCCUAUGUGACAUAAUACACGUUUAUGAAUUAUGUGUUGGUGCAUUUGAGGGAAACUACUGCACAUGGCCAUGGGGUCAUGUAAAGCUUUCAUUGCUGCCCACCACAAAGACUUUUCUUUGUCAAAGUCUUCCACAGAACCAUAAGACACAGCUUUCUGCAGUACUGCUAGCUCAUUCCGUGUAUUUUCUUUCCCUUAUUGAUUGCCCACAGCUGCCCACCACCUACAUUUUUCUUGUGUGGUAGUUGAAUAUUCAUUUCUUUUAGCGGUCGUUUGGUAGGCCAUAUUAAAAUAAAUAAUCUAUAUAUUAUGUAUGGUAUUAUUUAGUACUAUGUUUGAUAGGAAUUUGGGACUAUAUAUAACUAAUCUAUGGAUUAGUUAUAUCUCCUACAUGGUAUUAUAGGGUGUAUUACUAAUACCUUUCAUUUGGAGGUAUUAGUAAUACAUUGGAUAUAAUAUCAUGAGAUAAGUCUAUGUAAAGACAAAAAUAUCUCUCAAAUCAUUUUAAUUAUUUUGUUUAUUUUUUUGAUUAUAUGUUUUAUAUUUGUACUAUUAAAUUUAUUUAAAUAAAUUAGCUUACAAAUUAUUUCGAGAAAGUUGUUUGUUACUACAUAAAUCCAACACAAAUUAAUACAAUAUUUGAAAUGUGAGUUGNNNNNNNNNNNNNNNNNNNNNNNNNNNNNNNNNNNNNNNNNNNNNNNNNNNNNNNNNNNNNNNNNNNNNNNNNNNNNNNNNNNNNNNNNNUAUAUAUAUCGUGUGGUUUCUAAUUAUUUGUUUUUGAACAAUUUAUAAAAUUGCAUACAUAUUAAAACUAUAACUUGCAAUUUUUAUGUGUAAAUGUAGAUUAUUUAUUCAGUUUUACUAUUGUUUACGUCUUUUCAAAAAACCGAGAAGCAAUCCAAGUUCCCCUUGGAUGAAAUUCUGGAUUAGCCUAAUGCAUUAUUAAAAAUAAACAAACUGAUUACCAUGACCCUACUUUCCAAAAUAAGUAAUCAAAUCUUAUAGUGAACUACUCCCAAUUAAUCCAAAUAAAAUAGUUCACUUUAAACAUAAAAGCAAGUAAGUAACACAUGACAAAUUAUUAGAAAAAUAGAAGCAUGCCAACCCCGAAUAUGACUUGUUUUUUUUUAAAGGGGCCGAAGUUGUAAAUAAGCAAGAUAAACUAAUAUCAUUCAUAUUAUAAAUAUCAUAAGAGUCUACAACCUCAUCUAAUGGGUUUAUAAGCUAUUCAUACUAGAAACAAAAAAUACAAGGUAAAAUAUGUUGCGAAAAUAUCGUGGGUUAUUAACUACCACAGAAUCACAAGCAAAUAUAAUAGAAAAGAAAAAAAACAGAAGAAUUUGAUGAGGUUAGGCUAGACUAAUCCUCCAAGCAAAAGUAGAGAGAGUUUUUCACCAUGAACAAAAAAAGAAGGGUACAAUCCUUUAGAAUCUCCAACUACAUCCCCUAUAUAUAGAUCUCAAGUAGUUAUAUUCCUUUUCCAAAUCAAUUAGAACAAAGAGUGUUCUAAAUCAUCAGGGAUUAUGAAUUUUCAUGGAAAAAAUCAAGACAUAAUUUUAAAAAAUGUAAUAACAAACACAUUUAAAGAUUAAACAAAGAAGAAGAUGCAAACUUGUUGAGUCCAACUGACCACGCAAGUGUACGCAAUCGCACAAAUAGUAUAGAACUUUUAGUCCAUAUAUCAUACCCACAAAGACUUGUCAAUCAACCAUUUAUGUAAUUAAACUAAUUAAUGUGCUGCCCCAAGUGCCAAACUUCAGAAACACAAAACUCGACCAGGCUAGCGCACUACUUGGCUCGUUGCGUGCCCUAUCAAGGACACUACGUGGCGUGCUGCAUCAGGUCUUUUUUGAGUGAAAAUUAUUUCAAAGUCAAGUCCAAGAGAAUUAGCCUCUGCAAGUGACACUUAAACUUGAAUAAAAUUGAACAAAUAAUACAUGUGUCCUAUGUGGAGUCCCUACACAUGCAUCAUAUUUGCUAAUUAAUUUGACAAAUUUGAUUUAACGAUUGCUGAAUAUAACAAUGUCAUUAUCAACAUAGCUUAAAUUGUUACUCUGAGGCACCUUAGUUGUUUAUGAAAAAGGAAACGAACUUCUCAUUAGCUAUAAGGUUGUACAAGGAUCUGUAAAGAAAUUCAACAUUAAUGUUAGCCAAUAAUUACAACAUUAACACAAAUGGCUCUUAGAAAUGGUUGAUUUGUUUUCAAAAGAAAAAUCAGAAAAUUACAUCCAAUGACAGGAAUCAGAGAGACUUACAAUUUACAAAUAACUAAUACAUUCUCAAAGUGGAUAAUACAAAUAGAUUAUUGAUUUAUUUCAAAAAGAAAAUUACAUCCAAUGAGAGAGAGACUCACAAACAAACAACCCUACAAACAAUUACAUCCAAUGGGAGAAACCAAAAAGAUUCACAAACAAAGAAAGAAUUAUAAAUACUAAUAGUUACGAAUAUGCAGAUACGGAAUGUGAGCAAUUUUGUGCCAGUCUUCUCCUAUUCCCUUCUCACACCGCUUGAACACUAUUGGACAUUCAGUAAUUGUUAAAGUUGUGAGGGCUGUUAGGUGCUGCAAUCCCUCCGGUAAACAUUUUAGAAUCUUGCAGUAGUGGAGAGAUAACUGUGUAAGUGAAGUUAAACCUUUCACCCCUUCCUCGGGGAGACUCUCUAGUGUGUCACAAUAAUAAAUAUCCAGACGCUUCAAAGCAUUGAG
rnacentral:lncRNA from 1 species